rnacentral:sRNA from 1 species
AGACAGGUGAGCGACGAACUUCUGAGACAGGUGUGGGUGCGAGGGUCGGGAGGGUCAUGGGAUUGGGACCGAGGUGUGAGGAGGGAAUCUGCAAUUCCUUGCUACACAGAGCGCUGGCAACUUCUGACAGGCUGUUUUUGGGGUAUGGGCUGCCUCGGGUUGUUGCUGUUACAAGGAAAGAAAAGGGUUCCCCUGCCCACCGCCUCCCAGCCACUGGGCUACCUCCUGGCAGGAAAUUUGCAAACUGAGAUUAACAAGUUAGGAUCAGCAGAGGGUAGAGGAGGGCCCUGGCAGAUGUGGGGUCUAGAAGAGGACAGGAGUUAUCAGGGCCUCCGGCCAUUGUGCUGGGCCUUUGCCUGUACAAUUGUUUCUCAAGCAGUUGUGUCCCUGUGGCUUUGGUGCGCCUGUGUGCACUUUCUCCCUCCACCUGGAGCAUGGGCUGACACCGGAGGAAAGGAAAAGACAGAGUCAGACAGGGGACAAUGAAGCCUUUGAAGUGCCAGUCUAUGA